CAGAAAGUUAGUCUAAGUAAGACA
rnacentral:tRNA from 1 species